AACGUACGCUGGCGGCACGCCUAACACAUGCAAGUCGAACGAAGUAGCAAUACUUAGUGGCAGACGGGUGAGUAACAUGUAGGUAUCUGCCCUUUGGCCUGGAAUAACACGAGGAAACUUGUGCUAAUACCGGAUAAGUCUUUACGGAGAAAGCUUUAUGCACCAUUGGAUGAGCCUGCACUUGAUUAGUUUGUUGGUGGGGUAAUGGCCUACCAAGACUGUGAUCAAUAGCUGAUUUGAGAGGAUGAUCAGCCACAUUGGGACUGAGACACGGCCCAAACUCCUACGGGAGGCAGCAGUGGGGAAUCUUGCACAAUGGAGGAAACUCUGAUGCAGCGAUGCCGCGUGAGUGAAGAAGGCCCUUGGGUUGUAAAGCUCUUUCGUCGGGGAAGAAAAUGACUGUACCCGAAUAAGAAGGUCCGGCUAACUUCGUGCCAGCAGCCGCGGUAAUACGAAGGGACCUAGCGUAGUUCGGAAUUACUGGGCUUAGAGAGUUCGUAGGUGGUUGAAAAAGUUAGUGGUGAAAUCCCAGAGCUUAACUCUGGAACUGCCAUUAAAACUUUUCAGCUAGAGUAUGAUAGAGGAAAGCAGAAUUUCUAGUGUAGAGGUGAAAUUCGUAGAUAUUAGAAAGAAUACCAAUUGCGAAGGCAGCUUUCUGGAUCAUUACUGACACUGAGGAACGAAAGCAUGGGUAGCGAAGAGGAUUAGAUACCCUCGUAGUCCAUGCCGUAAACGAUGUGUGUUAGACGUUGGAAAUUUAUUUUCAGUGUCGCAGGGAAACCGAUAAACACACCGCCUGGGGAGUACGACCGCAAGGUUAAAACUCAAAUGAAUUGACGGGGACCCGCACAAGUAGUGGAGCAUGUGGUUUAAUUCGAAGAUACGCGCAGAACCUUACCAACACUUGACAUGUUCGUCGCGACUCUAAGAGAUUAGAGUUUUCGGUUCGGCCGGACGAAACACAGGUGCUGCAUGGCUGUCGUCAGCUCGUGUCGUGAGAUGUUGGGUUAAGUCCCGCAACGAGCGCAACCCUCACUUUUAGUUGCCAUCAUUAAGUUGGGCACUCUGAAAGAACUGCCAGUGAUGAGCUGGAGGAAGGUGGGGAUGACGUCAAGUCCUCAUGGCCCUUACGUGUUGGGCUACACACGUGCUACAAUGGUAUCUACAACAGGAAGCAAGACUGCGAAGUUAAGCAAAUCCCUAAAAGAUACCUCAGUUCGGAUUGCACUCUGCAACUCGAGUGCAUGAAGCUGGAAUUACUAGUAAUCGUGGAUCAGCGUGCCACGGUGAAUGCGUUCCCGGGUCU
rnacentral:rRNA from 1 species